rnacentral:misc_RNA from 1 species
GAAAUGCGAUAAGUAAUGUGAAUUGCAGAAUUCAGUGAAUCAUCGAAUCUUUGAACGCACAUUGCGCCCGCCAGCACUCUGGCGGGCAUGCCUGUUCGAGCGUCAUUUCAACCCUCAGAACCCCUUGCGGGAUCUGGCGUUGGGGAUUGGCAUCCAGCCAGCCCCGAAAUCUAGUGGCGGUCCCUCCGCGACCUCCCCUGUGCAGUAGCGAUACCUCGCAGCGGGACAGCGGUCUGACCACGCCGUAAAACCCCCAACUUCUCAAGGUUGACCUCGAAUCAGGUAGGAAUAUCCGCUGAACUUAAGC